rnacentral:rRNA from 1 species
CCUAAAGCGUCCGUAGCCUGCUGUGUAAGUCCAUUGGGAAAUCGACCAGCUCAACUGGUCGACGUCCGGUGGAAACUACACAGCUUGGGGCCGAGAGACUCAACGGGUACGUCCGGGGUAGGAGUGAAAUCCUGUAAUCCUGGACGGACCACCAAUGGGGAAACCACGUUGAGAGACCGGACCCGACGGUGAGGGACGAAAGCCAGGUCUCGAACCGGAUUAGAUACCCGGGUAGUCCUGGCUGUAAACAAUGCUCGCUAGGUAUGUCACGCGCCAUGAGCACGUGAUGUGCCGUAGUGAAGACGAUAAGCGAGCCGCCUGGGAAGUACGUCCGCAAGGAUGAAACUUAAAGGAAUUGGCGGGGGAGCACCACAACCGGAGGAGCCUGCGGUUUAAUUGGACUCAACGCCGGACAUCUCACCGGUCCCGACAGUAGUAAUGACAGUCAGGUUGACGACUUUACUCGACGCUACUGAGAGGAGGUGCAUGGCCGCCGUCAGCUCGUACCGUGAGGCGUCCUGUUAAGUCAGGCAACGAGCGAGACCCACACUUCUAGUUGCCAGCAACACCCCUGCGGUGGUUGGGUACACUAGGAGGACUGCCAUUGCUAAAAUGGAGGAAGGAAUGGGCAACGGUAGGUCAGUAUGCCCCGAAUGGACCGGGCAACACGCGGGCUACAAUGGCUCUGACAGUGGGAUGCAACGCCGAGAGGCGGAGCUAAUCUCCAAACGGAGUCGUAGUUCGGAUUGCGGGCUGAAACCCGCCCGCAUGAAGCUGGAUUCGGUAGUAAUCGCGUG